CGCGCAGGCGGUUGUGCAAGUCAGUUGUGAAAUCCCCCGGCUUAACCGGGAAACUGCAUCUGAAACUGCAUGACUAGAGUACAGAAGAGGGAAACGGAAUUCCCGGUGUAGAGGUGAAAUUCGUAGAUAUCGGGAGGAACACCAGUGGCGAAGGCGGUUUCCUGGUCUGAUACUGACGCUGAGGCGCGAAAGCGUGGGGAGCAAACA
rnacentral:rRNA from 1 species